rnacentral:lncRNA from 1 species
GACGUAUCAAAUCUUAUCGAAAGGUAAUGAAUUUUGGUAGGUUUGUUCUUAAGGCGUGUACGUUGAUUCUCCUUUUUACAGAAGUGAAUUCGGAUUAAUACUCAGUGAGUUAUAUGCAGUUUGGUGAGACGCGUUUUCUCUGUUGCGAACUGGGAUCAGCAGAGUUUGUAAGUGCGAUCGUGGUUUCAUCGUUUGUCCGAUCGGCAUCAAAUUUAGUACGAAGCUUGGUGACGUCUGGGUCUUGCUUUUCACCAUAGGGAUUAAGACGUUAACGGGCGUUGUUUGGUUUUUGCAGUUGCGAGGAGAGUCUUUCCUGGUUGUAUUUGUUAUUCAAAUCACCUUGUUAAGGUGAGUGCGUGACCAUGAGCUUAUCUAAGCCAUUGGGAUUGAAUGACUUGUUUGUGAUGAUUUGUAGGUGAAAUGGAAGUUUUAUUGGAUGUUUAGCUUGUUGAAUGGUUUGUUUAUGUUAUAUAUGUGGGUGUUAUCUCAUAGCUUGUGUGUAUAGCUCGUAGAUGGGAGGAUCGCUCUCACUGAGUAUUUGUGAUAAUACUCACGCAUCUCAUUGUGUUUGUGGUGCAGGUAAAUUGUGAUCCGUGGAAUCAUAGCGAGGAGAGGAGGAUGAUCUAGGGUCUCGGUUGUUAUGUUUAUGAAUAUGUUAAUUGUUGUUGGAACCUGGUUUAGAGGCAUGCUAGGUUGCUGGUGUAAAUUGUGGUUAUUGAAUGAUUGAUUAAUUAAUAUUAUGAUUAAUUGAUGUUGGUUUAAUAUGUUUCCGCUGUGCAUGAUGAUUUAUUGUUGGGUUAAUUAGUAGGUAUGGGACUAUUAUUUAAUGAAUUAAAAAAAACGGGUCGGGUCUUUUCAAUUUGGUAUCAGAGCCCUUACGGUUCUAGGGCAAGAGUAAAUUGGUUAUUUUUAAUGUGAUGUGUGAAUUUCGUUGAUGGAAAAUGAUGAUGUGGAUUGCAUGCUGAUUGAUUUGUGUGUUUAAUCAAUUGUGUGAGCAUGGAGACCUAGAUCAUCCUCUCGAGCCUUCAAUGAGAUUCCACGAUAAGUUGUGAUGUUUUGUCUUUUCUCUAGUCAUCUGUUUUCCUAGUUUCUGCUCGUGGCAGUGUGGGAGGCUAGAGGUUGCGAGCGUGGUGCUCAAAGUAGUUCUGUGGUUGUGGUGGUUGUAGUCCGGAGCGCGGGUCUUCGGUGGUGUUUUGUUGGAAAUGGAUUUCCAAGAAGUUAAGUUGGAGACUGUUAUGUAAUACCCUGAGUGACGGGAUGAUUUUAUGUUGUACUUGGAUUAUGUGAAUAUUUCUUGGAUUUGACUUGUUGUGUCAUGUGUAAGAGAAAUAUGUGCGAGUUUCUAAAAAUAGAAAGUGUCGGGUUGGAGACUGUUAUGUAAUACCCUGAGUGACGGGAUGGUUUGCGAGUUGACUUGAAGAAUAGUCAUGGUAGAGAUGAUAUUCCAGGUGGGAAUAUUGUUUGGUAGGUAUGACAUUGUGAUGUUGUACUUGGAUUAUGUGAGUAUUUCUUGGAUUUGACUUGUUGUGUCAUGUGUAAGAGAAAUAUGUGUGAGUUUCUAAAAAUAGAAAGUGUUGGGUUUGACGGUUCUAUUUUUGGAAAUUCUCGGGGUGGUGGUUAGUAUAGCAUUGCGAUGCUAUAAGUGGACCACAGGAGGUAUAUCUGAUCGAGAGAUAUGCUCGGGGGCGUUUAUACUUAUUUGCUCGGAUAUGAUGUGAUGGCCUCGGAUGACGAUUCGAGUGCACGCUUGAGGGUGACGACCCGAGAGCGAGCAUGAGACUUCCCGGAUACCGUAGCUAGAAGGCGGGUGGCCUAAUAGUGAGCCGGUAUGACUUGAGGGUUGCGACCUGAGAGCGGGGGGAGUGGUGAGACUUCCUGGAUACCGUAGUCUAAGGCUGAGGCCUGAGGACGAGCCGGUAUGAUCCAUGGGUUGCGACCUAUGUACGGGGGAGGUGGGUGUGUAUGAGCAAAUAUGGUCUGUAACGUGAGUAUAUGGAUUAGAUAGGAGCCUCAGAGGAGUCAGUUGUGGGAGUGCAGAUCGUUUGGGAUGGUUGCACUGAGUCCGACUGAUGGAGAAUGUUGAAGGAUUCGAGGACGAAUCCAUGUUAGUGGGGGAGAAUUGUAACGCCCGUGUUCUGGAAAAUAAUAGGAGACUAGAUUGUGUAUAGGAAUUAGGGUGGAGUCAGUUUAAUUCCGGUUGAUUUCCUAAAGUGGUCGAUUUGUCAAUUGAAUCAAAGGAGGUUUAAUUAAUGUCGGUUUAGGUAAAUCAUGGUUUAACCAGAUUAAACCAAAAACCCUAACUUUUAUAAGGAGCGCUUCUUCUCUCUUUUGUUUUGUCGCUGUUGUUUCUGAGAGUUGAGUUGAGAAAAGGAGAAGGAGAAGUUUACUUGUGAGAAGGAGAGUGUUAGCUUUGCUUUGGUGUUUAAGGCAAGAGAAGCGGUUUCGUCACGUCCUGGUAGAAUAGAGUUACGACGUAUCAAAUCUUAUCGAAAGGUAAUGAAUUUUGGUAGGUUUGUUCUUAAGGCGUGUACGUUGAUUCUCCUUUUUACAGAAGUGAAUUCGGAUUAAUACUCAGUGAGUUAUAUGCAGUUUGGUGAGACGCGUUUUCUCUGUUGCGAACUGGGAUCAGCGGAGUUUGUAAGUGCGAUCGUGGUUUCAUCGUUUCUCCGAUCGGCAUCAAUAGUGGGAAGCUUGGUGACGUCUGGGUCUUGCUUUUCACCGUAGGGAUUAAGACGUUAACGGGCGUUGUUUGGCUGUUGCAGUUGCGAGGAGAGUCUUUCAUGGUUGUAUUUGUUAUUCAAAUCACCUUGUUAAGGUGAGUGCGUGACCAUGAGCUUAUCUAAGCGAUUGGGAUUGAGUGACUUGUUUGUGAUGAUUUGUAGGUGAAUUGGAA